GGGAAGGGAACCGCGGCGGGUCAGGAAGGAGGGACCAGGGCCGGGCAGGGACCCGGGCCGGAACCACCUCUGCCCGGCAGGCGUGGAGGCGGGGCAGGCGCGGCCAGGAGUCGGAGUCUGGCCCCCUACCCUGAACACAGAGCCGGGAGAGGCGCCGGAGGCCCUGCGAGGGAGGCUGGUGGCCGUCACAGAGCUCCCGACGGCCGGACUGUGGAGAGUGUCCGCCUCAACAGGAGAAAAGACAAACAGUUCCACAGCACUUCACACAAUGCCUGCUAGGUCGCGAUUGUUGGUCGGAGGGGUCGAGGAGCCUGGAUCCCGCCUGAGCUGGGCGUGCGCCAUCGUGGAAGCACCACGGGGAUUGCCAGGACAGGUGACUCACGGCCGGGAGUGAGCGGGCAGGAGCGGCCCCAGCCGGGCCACCAUCACCCAAGCAGGCUGCACAUCUCUCCACUCCACGACUCAGUCUCCUCGUAUGCCAAGUGGGAAUGAUAAAGCAUACCUUAGACACCGAAGCUGAGUGUUGGAAAAAGAGAAGCAAACGGUUUCCCUGCCUUCAGAGUAUAGCUGGUGCUGAGACUUUGCUAAGCCUCCCUUCCACUUGCUGAAAAGGACACUGCAGAAAAGAACAGAAAGGCAAAUUUACUGAAAGAGUAAAGAAUACGACUUGAUGUGCAAUGGUUCCACUCAACCUAACACACCACAGG
ensembl:lncRNA